UACGGAGGGUGCAAGCGUUAUCCGGAUUCACUGGGUUUAAAGGGUGUGUAGGCGGGUAUUUAAGUCAGUGGUGAAAAUCUCCGAGCUCAACUCGGAAACUGCCAUUGAUACUAUUAUCUUGAAUAUUGUUGAGGUAGGCGGAAUAUGUCAUGUAGCGGUGAAAUGCUUAGAUAUGACAUAGAACACCGAUUGCGAAGGCAGCUUGCUAAACAAUUAUUGACGCUGAGGCACGAAAAGCGUGGGGAUCAAACAGG
rnacentral:rRNA from 1 species